CUCGUAGGCGGUUCGUCGCGUCCGGUGUGAAAGUCCAUCGCUUAACGGUGGAUCCGCGCCGGGUACGGGCGGGCUUGAGUGCGGUAGGGGAGACUGGAAUUCCCGGUGUAACGGUGGAAUGUGUAGAUAUCGGGAGGAACACCAGUGGCGAAGGCGACCUACUGGGCACCAACUGACGCUGAGGCUCGAAAGCAUGGGUAGCAAACA
rnacentral:rRNA from 1 species